CCCUCCAUGGGACCGCGGCCCCCACUGAAAAACAUUGCUGUAGGUUGUGGUUCUGCUAUUGUUAAAAAAUGCUAGGAUACAAUAUUUAUGGCUAUAAAGUUGUCAUGGUCAACUGUUUAUUUAGAAGCAGGUUUUCCAAAACUCCAGUGCCAUGAAUAAGUUACAGUGAUUUACUGUCAAUUAGGAAAGUCUCAGCUUUCAAAUGUUUUAUUUAGUCAUAUCUAAAGAAUGUAAAACUAGCACAAUCUUGUAUUUCUUUUCUGCCAGAUCAUCUCUGUUACUGCCCACACUCAUCAAAAUAUUGUGGUGUUAAAAUAAAGGACUUUCACCACAGAGAUGCAGAGAGACGGAGGAGAAAACAGCAGAUUUAUUCAGCCGCCAUGAGACAUUUAUUACAUAAGGAGAAUAAAGUCACUCAGUGGGUCCGAUCUUGCAAAGGAGGAACAGGUUAUAUAACAAAAACAAAAUUGAAAAUACAAAAAAAUAAAUAAAUUACCUCCAGUCCCCCGUUCAAAACACAGUAAUCUAUGAAAUCACUGCAUAUGAAGGCAUGUAAAGUAAUCAAGGGGAAAAUUUUAUGCAUUUUGAUUAUAUACUCAACUGGCAACAGAGAUUUGAUCUGAUAAUAAUAAAAAAAUAAUACUAUAUUCCAACAAUUUUGCCUUGAAGCUGAUUUUUUAAAUAACAAUAUAGCCUUCUUUUUGAUGUUUGUUGAGCUCAGAUAAAGUCUCAAAGUUUAAUUUGUUCCUCAAAUCUACCAAAACCGAAUUAGCAGACUGUCACCGGAACAACUUUAAAUAUCUGUUUUGUUAGAGCUGGACAUAAUGAUUGUAAAACAUAUCAUAAUAUAACAGUUUUAUAUUGGUCAAUAUCGAUAAUUAUUGAUUAGAGUUUCGUAUUAAAUAUGUGAAAUACAGCCAAACUGGUGUCGUAACCGUUCCUCUUUUAUCCUCUUUUUUUCACUCCACGUCAUUGUUUUUUAAAUUUUUAAGCAGUUAUUAGGGCACAUUGGGGGAACCUUAAACUGCUACUGUGUCAGUUACUCAGCUGGUUGUUGCUAAGCAACCAAAGAAUGGGUGAGUUGCUAGGUAACCAAAGAGUGAGAGAGUCAGUUUAUUCCACCAACUUAGUUUAAUUGGCUGUUAGAGAAAGUCUUUCCUCUGCCUACAUCCCCCAGAAUGCUGUGAGGUUAUACUGAAUAUUGUACUAAAUGUAUGUUAUGAUUAUUGAUUACAUUAUAAUGUUAUUGAUUUAUUGUCUAGCCCUACAUUGUGUGCUUAGUAUCUAAAAUUUCAUGGACACCUCAAAGCCACGCCUGCAUAUGAAACCAGUUAAGUUUUUUGAUUGUUUAAAAAUACAUUUAACACACAAAGACUGACAGAAAUCAGCUUUUUUGGUGGGGGGUGUCAAAUCAUUCAUAAAAUAAUUAAUUUUAGUUGAUUAUCUGGAUGUUUUCUAAGCAUGUAAACAGAUUUUUAAUUUCUGGUUUGGACUGAUUCUGAAUUUUGUGAUCAAUAGUUAAAUAUCAAGAUGUGACCUUCUGACAAUAUCAACAGUAUUUUAGAGAACAACAAAAAGCACAGGGAUGGUUUCAUAAUAAUGACGGAAGAGAUAAGCAUCAAAUUUCAGCUUUAAGGUGAGUCCGAAGGGGAAAGUGUUUCCCAGUGUUGUUGGAGUGUAAGGGUUGAUGGGAACCAAACAGGAAGAGGAAGAGGAAGGGAGAAACUGUGGUUGAGAUAAACAAAAGGAACUACACUUCAGCAGCCAGAAGACAGGUUAAAGUUUCCACAAAUCAGAGGGGGGGAAAUGGAGACGGGGACAAAAGGUCGGCAUAAAUGUGAAAACUUUUCAUCCGUUUGUUCUCCAGGCUGAAGGAGUCUGGGAAGAGCCUUCAAGCUCACAUGUGGCGUCCAAAUGGGCCGUUCCUAAACGCUCUGCUAUUCGCAGCCAAAAGUAUUCCAACUAUUUAUUGCAUUAGUUCAGUCAUCUUAGCUGAGGACUCUUUAAAUACUUCUGUAAAACCUUAAAAGAUUUUAACAGGAGGCUUUGAGGUUUGUUUCAAACAUGUAGGUUUUGGGUGAAAACUUGGAUUAAGAGUCUGUGAGCCAUAAGAGGCAAUUUCUAAACUCACAGCGAGACGAAUCAGAUUUUCCCUUCAGCAGAAAUUCACCAUCGUUUGUGUCAACCGCUGGGAGGAAGUGGACGGUUGCUAUGACUACAGCAGAGACAGGGAGAAACACCAUGACUUUUCCCCCCAGAGUGAAGUCCCUGUGUGUCUCAGUGUGUUUGUUAAAGGUGUAUUGUUGUAGCGGUACAAUGGAACAAACAGAAAACUAAAAAUACAGGCGGAGGAAGGAGGGAGGAGGCCCCUGGAGAGAACCAGCGCAGAGCAGAACUUCCUCCCAGCACCGCCAGCGUACCCUGUGUCUGUACGCUCAAUCUGAAGUGUGUCUUUAAAAUGGGUUCCCACGUGGAUCAGAACCAGAGGUGUUGGUUUCUCACCGGAGGAGGUUUGGCUACAACGCAGCA